rnacentral:rRNA from 1 species
CCUACGGGUGGCAGCAGUGAGGGAUAUUGGUCAAUGGGGGAAACCCUGAACCAGCAACGCCGCGUGAGGGAAGACGGUUUUCGGAUUGUAAACCUCUGUCCUCUGUGAAGAUAAUGACGGUAGCAGAGGAGGAAGCUCCGGCUAACUACGUGCCAGCAGCCGCGGUAAUACGUAGGGAGCAAGCGUGGUCCGGAUUUACUGGGUGUAAAGGGUGCGUAGGCGGCCCUGCAAGUCAGAAGUGAAAUGCAUUGGCUUAACCGGUGAACUGCUGUUGAAACUGUAGGGCUUGAGUGCAGUAGAGGCAGGCGGAAUUCGCGGUGUAGCGGUGAAAUGCGUAGAGAUCGGGAAGAACACCAGUGGCGAAGGCAGCCUGCUGGACUGUAACUGACGCUGAAGCACGAAAGCGUGGGUAGCAAACAGGAUUAGAUACCCUUGUAGUC